CCUACGGGCGGCAGCAGUGAGGAAUAUUGGUCAAUGGGCGGAAGCCUGAACCAGCCAAGUCGCGUGAGGGAUGAAGGCCCUACGGGUUGUAAACUUCUUUUGUCAGGGAGCAAAUGAGUCCACGUGUGGUCUUAGCGAGAGUACCUGAAGAAAAAGCAUCGGCAAACUCCGUCCCAGAAGCCGCGUUAAAAGGGGGGAUGCGGGCGUUAUCCGGUUUUAUUGGGUUAAAAGGGUGCGAAGGCGGAAUAUUAAGUCAGCGGUAAAAAUUCGGGGCCAAACCCCGGCUUGCCGUUGAAACUGAUGUUCUUGAGUGGGCGAGAGGUAUGCGGAAUGCGUGGUGUAGCGGUGAAAUGCAUAGAUAUCACGCAGAACUCCGAUUGCGAAGGCAGCAUACCGGCGCCCAACUGACGCUGAGGCACGAAAGCGUGGGUAGCGAACAGGAUUAGAUACCCCAGUAGUC
rnacentral:rRNA from 1 species